AUCAUAGGUGUUUUAUCACGGUGAUGGAAAACUGAUGAAGUCACAUUGUCUGGUAAUCAGAUCUGAAGCAAUAAUGUACUACACGCAGCAGAUUUGGCAGGCGCAGUGGUUUCAAUGAGAUAUCCUCCAUAUGCCCAAGCAUCUGAAUACUUGGUCUCCCGUCGGUGGCCCUGUUUGGUAGGUUAAGGAGCUGGAGGAAGUGACCUUGCUAUAGAAAAUGAGUCAUUGUGGGCGGCCUUUGAGGUUUCAAAAGGCUUGAGCCAUUCCCGGUUUGCUCUCUCUGCUUCCCGUUUGUACAUUGAGUUGUGAGUCCUUAGCUCUCAGCUCCAGCUCCAGUUGCCAAGCCUGCCUGCUGUCACACUUGCCUGCCGUGAUGGUGGCACACUCUUAUCCCUCUGGAGCUGUAAACCCAAAGAAGCCCUUCCUUCUCUAAGUGGCCUUGGUCAUGGUGUUUUAUCAGAGCAAUGGAAAAGCAACUGACAUAGGCUUUCUGAGAAACAUCUGGAAGGAGAGAGGACAGCAGGGCAAAGCAGGCUCAGCCAAGUCCUCAGAUUGCCUGGGCACCCUAUCCAGGACAGCCUUGAAGAGCUGACCCAAGCAUGCGUACUGCCACUAGAAGGAGCUGUAACCCUUGGACUACACCUUUCUUCAGCAGCAGCAGCUCCUGGAAAGAUCCCUGGACAGUCAACACACAAAGUAUCACUCUCUGCUCCAGCACCAUGUCUCCCCGAAUGCCGCCAUGCUUCCCAUCAUCACGGUGAUGGACUGAACCUCUGAAACUAUGAUCUCAUCAUAAUGGAAAACAAGAAAGCUAACCGAGUUACCUGGGAAAUCUCUAAAACAUCGGGGGACUAAGCUGGAAGGAUUCCCACUGGCCGAGAACAAAUGAACAACAAAGAGACCAAUGAGUUGAAUUAUAU
rnacentral:lncRNA from 1 species